GGUAUAGCUCAGUUGGUAGAGCGCUUAUCUUGCAUAGCUCAAGGCCCUGGGUUCAAUCCCCAGCACCA
rnacentral:tRNA from 1 species